ACUCGGGGUGUCGCUGGUUGCUAUAUAAUACCCGGAUAUGGCGGGUAGUUUCUACACUUCACCGUAAAUGAAGUACUAUGGCUAACUUCUCACCGGCC
rnacentral:ncRNA from 2 species